rnacentral:rRNA from 1 species
GACGAACGCUGGCGGCGUGCCUAAUACAUGCAAGUUGAGCGCUGAAGGUUGGUACUUGUACCAACUGGAUGAGCAGCGAACGGGUGAGUAACGCGUGGGGAAUCUGCCUUUGAGCGGGGGACAACAUUUGGAAACGAAUGCUAAUACCGCAUAAAAACUUUAAACACAAGUUUUAAGUUUGAAAGAUGCAAUUGCAUCACUCAAAGAUGAUCCCGCGUUGUAUUAGCUAGUUGGUGAGGUAAAGGCUCACCAAGGCGAUGAUACAUAGCCGACCUGAGGGGGUGAUCGGCCACAUUGGGACUGAGACACGGCCCAAACUCCUACGGGAGGCAGCAGUAGGGAAUCUUCGGCAAUGGACGAAAGUCUGACCGAGCAACGCCGCGUGAGUGAAGAAGGUUGUCGGAUCGUAAAACUCUGUUGGUAGAGAAGAACGUUGGUGAGAGUGGAAAGCUCAUCAAGUGACGGUAACUACCCAGAAAGGGACGGCUAACUACGUG